UCGGGGAUUUAGCUCAGUGGUAGAGUGCUUGCCUAGCAAUCGCAAGGCCCUGGGUUCGGUCCUCAGCUCUGGAA
rnacentral:tRNA from 1 species